AUAUAAUUACCUAUAUGAAUAGAUAAAAGUAUGUAAAAGUAGAUAAAAGUAGGUUAAUUGUAUAAUAUCUUCUAGAGAAGCUUCUUAGAAGCUUCAUAGACGCUGCUUUGACUUUAUAGGAGUCUAUAGUUGACUUUUAGGUUAGAAACUUGGUCAACAAGUUAGCCAUGUGCCACACAUGUUGGAAGCUUAAAGAACAAGCUAACUACGUGGUCCAUCCAUAGAAAACUUGCCUUGCAAGCAAAGGCAUGUGGCCUAGAAAGUCAACAUAUAUUGGAGGUCUUAUAGAACAUCGCCACGUGGCUUCUAGUUAGAUAGUAUAUAUAGAGGCAAGAGUGAAGCCCUCUUCACUCUUGUCAACUCCUUUCUUGCUUCUAGUCUAGUUUCAAGGGUGUCUAGUUUUUCUUGUAUUUUGGCAAUAGCCAUUCCAGUUUCUUUCUUAAUAUACAUAUUUCUAUUUUGUCCUAUUUCUUUUUGAGAAAAGUCUCACUUAUUCUUUAGCUUUCAUCGAGUUCUUGUCCUUGACAGAUUGACAAGAGUACACUUACAAUAUCAGAGCUUUGUCUUUUCUUGAUUAAGAGUGGAUUACCCCUUUUUUCUUGAUAAGACAUAAGCGCAUUAGAAGUUGCGGAUUACCCUCUUUUAAACUGAUAUUGUUCUUAGUAUUUUCUUUGUUAUCAAUUCCUCUCUUCUAUUUGUUUUGAGCGUUAUUAGACAUCUUCUCUUUUCUAAGUGCUACUAUGGCAGAGCUUGUUGAAAUGAAGAGUGCAAUGGCACAGAUGCAAGAACAAUUGAGGGAGUUAAUGCUUGCGAUGCAUCAACUCAAUUUACCACCACAAGGAGCAACAAGAAUGGUAGGAAGUGAAGAUAAAGAGAUGAUUGGGGCUGCUUCAACAUCUGCACCAAACCAUGUCCCUUCUCCCAGAAUGGAACAUCCUUCGAGUGUUAGAGAACCGAGAGUUGCCUUGCCCGAGAAGUUUGAUGGUACCAGAUCCAAGUUUCGAGGAUUCAUCAAUCAAGUCCAACUAGUGAUUGAACUUCAACCCCAGAGCUAUCCAACUCCAGGGUCACAAGUUAGAUUCAUUGGUACACUUCUUUCAGGUUCAGCAUUGUCAUGGUUUUCAUCUUUUCUUGAACGACGAGAUCCAAUAUUGGAUAAUCUGGAGGCUUUUUUGGCAGAGUUUCGAUCCAUGUUUGGAGAACAUGAUGCAAUUCGUGUUGCAACCAACAAGAUCCGUAUUUUGCGACAAGGCAAUCGAUCAGUAACAUUAUAUGCUUCGCAAUUUCGACAACUUGCAACUGAUAUCAAGUGGGAUGAUGCCGCACUUGUGAGUCAAUUUCUCUACGGAUUACAAUAUGAGGUAAAGAAAUUGAUGCUUAAUUUACCUGAUCCUCAAACAUUGAGUCAAGCAAUUGACUUUGCUGUGAAGUGCGACAAUCGACUUUUUGAAUUUCGAUCCGAGAGUCGCACAAGUGGGCCUCAACGUUACUACAAUUCAAUGGCAACACCGACGUCUCCUCAACACAUACCUUCAGAAGUAGAGGAUAUGCAAAUUGAUGCGGUACGUUUCAAACCUCUUACUGAACAAGAAAAGUCUCGUCGUCGACAAGAAGGAUUGUGCUUAUAUUGUGGAGAACCUAAGCACACUGCUCAACAUUGUCCAAAGAAGCGACAUAACUACAAAAUGAGGAGUACGGCUGUCAAAGAAGACAGUAUGUCGGAAAACGAGUACGUCCAGCUACAAUAGGGACCGUGCGGCUGGAAUCUUGUACAACUUCUAAUGAAGGUCCUAUCCUCUCCUCAGAACCAUCUCCUUGUUUUAUAAUAGAUGUGCGUUUAGGACCUAAUAAUUACAAAGCCUCUGCCUUGGUAGAUUCAGGAGCCUCAUCUUGUUUUUUAGAUGAAGAAUUUGCUAGAUGUCAUAGAAUAUCAUUAAUACAAAAAACUAAACCUGUACACGUAGAAGUCAUAGAUGGUCGUCCGUUGUCUUCUGGAGAUGUAACUCACGAAACACUUCCUAUAGAUGUAGUAAUAAAUGGUCAUAGUAGUUGCGUAAUUUUUAAUAUAAUUAGAUCUCCCUCUAAUCCAGUAAUUUUAGGCUUAUCAUGGUUAGAAAAGUAUAAUCCUCGAAUAGAUUGGAUUUCUCGUAAACUUGAUUUUCCUCAGAGCAUUAGUAACGGUUCUAUUAAUCAAGUAAAAAACCAUGAGUCUAGUAUAGUAAAACCCGCACUUAUAGGUGCAAAAGCAUUUAUACAUGCAGCAAAAGAAGGAUCAACUUUUGCUAUUUAUGCUGCACCUAUUUCUGAAAGUGUAAAGACUUCAAGUGGCAUUCCAAGUCAAUAUCAGGAUUAUCAAGACGUUUUUGAGAAAAAAAAUGCAGAUAUUCUUCCUGAGCAUCGCCCAUACGAUUGUUCAAUCGAUCUUAAGGAAGGAACUCUGCCACCAUUUGGACCAAUUUACAGUUUAUCGCAAGAUGAGUUGGCUGAACUCAAGACAUAUAUUGACGAGAAUUUAGCGAAGAAUUUCAUACGCCAUUCAAAAUCUCCAGCAGGAGCUCCAAUUUUAUUCGUAAAGAAAAAAGAUGGAUCUUUACGAAUGUGUGUUGACUAUCGAGGACUCAACAAGAUCACAAUCAAGAACAGGUAUCCAUUACCUUUGAUAUCAGGACUCCUUGACCAGUUAAAUCAAGCUAAUAUCUAUACAAAAAUAGAUCUAAGAGGAGCAUAUAAUCUAGUACGGAUCAAAGAAGGAGAUGAAUGGAAGACUGCGUUUCGAACCAGGUACGGGCAUUUUGAAUAUAAUGUCAUGCCUUUUGGACUCACGAAUGCACCAGCUGCUUUUCAACAUCUCAUGAAUGAUGUAUUUCGUGAAUUCUUAGACAAUUUUGUCGUCUGCUACCUAGACGAUAUCCUCAUUUAUUCUAAGAAUGUUGAAGAACAUGAAAUACAUGUUCGUCAAGUAUUACAAAAACUCAGAGAUGCAGGAUUGUACGCCAAGAUGGAAAAGUGUGUAUUUCACACUACUCAAGUUGACUUUUUAGGAUACAUCAUUUCAAAUGAUGGUCUUAUGAUGGAUUCUAAGAAAGUCCAAACAAUCAUGGAUUGGAAGAUUCCAAAGACUGUAAGAGAUGUUCAAUGUUUCUUGGGAUUUGCCAAUUACUAUCGGAUCUUCAUCAAAGACUUCUCACGAGUUGCAGCUCCACUUACACGCUUGACUAGUAAAGAUAAAUUCCAAUGGAAUCAAGAAGCGGAAGCAGCAUUUGAAGCCUUGAAGACAUCGUUUGUCUCUGCACCAGUCUUAUAUCGUGUCGACUUUUCCAAGGCAUUUUUUAUGGAAACAGACGCAUCGGAUUUUGCCUUGGGUGCAGUUUUAUCACAAAUGGGAACAGAUGACAAACUUCAUCCGAUAGCUUUUCAUUCAAGAAAAUUCUCAGCAGCCGAGAUCAAUUAUGAGAUCCACGAUAAAGAACUUCUUGCAAUCGUGGAUUCCUUUCAAGAAUGGCGUCAUUAUCUAGAAGGUGCUUCUAGUCCAGUCACUGUAUAUACAGAUCACAAGAACCUCGAGUAUUUCAUGUCAGCACGCGUGUUGAAUCGUCGUCAAGCUCGUUGGAGUAUGUCUUUGUCAAGAUUCGACUUCAUUAUCACUUAUCGGCCAGGAAAAUAACAAGGUUUGUCCAAUGCCCUGUCUAAACGUUCUUAUUUUGCACCAAAAGAAGGAGAUGCAGCUUUUGAGCAACAAAGAACGGUCCUCUUGAAACCGGAGCAAUUUCAUCUCCGAGCAGUGAAAUCAACAUUGACUGUUGAUUCAACUUUUCUCAAGCAAAUCCAGUCCAGUAUGUCCUCAGACCCUCUUGUUCAUGAUAUCGAGAAUAAUUCUUCCAAGUCUCAUGAUUCUUCUAAGUUCGAGUUCAAGAAUAAUCUAUUAUAUUUUGAAGGACGCCUAUAUGUUCCAGAAGGAAAAGCACGUUUGCGUGUUCUUCAAGCACGUCAUGACUUUCCAGCAGUAGGGCACUUUGGAUAUAAUAAGACUCUGGAACUCAUAUCAAGAGAUUUUUGGUGGCCACAAAUGUGGAAGUCUGUCAAAGACUUUGUACAAUCAUGUGAUAUUUGUUCAAGAUUAAAAAUUCCUCGUCAUCGACCUUACGGACUUCUUCAGCCAUUACCUAUACCAGAACAACCAUGGUCUUCUGUUUCUAUGGAUUUCAUCACAGAUCUUUCAAACUCAAGAUCUUAUGAUUCUAUAUUUGUGAUAGUAGAUCGUUUCACCAAGAUGGCACAUUUUAUGCCAUGUACAAAAUCUAUCACAGGUGAAGAAACAGCUAAGCUUUUCAUUGAUAAUAUCUAUCGCUAUCAUGGAUUACCUAAAGAUAUCAUAUUGGAUAGGGGAACUCAAUUUGUGUCGAGAUUCUGGAGGACUCUUUUCAAGAUUUUAAAAGUGGACAUAAAGCUAUCUUCAGCUUUCCAUCCUCAAACUGAUGGACAAACAGAGCGCGUAAACCAAGUCUUGGAACAGUAUUUAAGGUGUACCAUCAACUACCAACAAGAUGAUUGGACAAACCUUCUGCCAUUGACAGAGUUUGCUUAUAAUAAUACGGUACAUUCCUCCAUGCAACAAACACCUUUCUUUGCCAAUUAUGGCUAUCAUCCAUGACUUGAUACUUUUGAUUUUUCAAAAGUUGAUAAUCUUGCAGCAAAAGAUAUGGCAAAUCGGUUGUCAGAGUUACAUGCAAUAAUGAAGGCGCAGUUGAAGAAAGCUCAAGAAUGACAAAAGAUAAAUGCAGAUGUAUAUCAUAAAGAGCAACCACAACUCAACGUAGGUGAUAAGGUAUGGCUACUUCGUCGCAAUAUCAAGUCCACUCGACCUUGUGACAAAUUGGACUAUCGUAGGCUUGGCCCCUUUUCUGUUUCUGAACAGAUCAACCCAGUUGCAUAUCGGUUACAUCUACCGGAGUCAAUGAAGAUCCAUCCUGUAUUCCACGUGUCUCUUCUUGAACCAUAUAAGACAGUGGAUAUACAAGGAAGAAGACAAAUGCCACCGCCUCCUAUAGAAAUAGAUAAUAAUGAAGAAUUUGAGGUGGAAGAGAUAUUAGACUCAAGGCGGCGCCGAAAUAAGCUGGAAUAUCUUGUUCAUUGGUGCGGAUAUGAUAUUAGUGAGCGUACAUGGGAGCCAUCCAGGAAUCUAGCAAAUGCAUCAGCUAAAGUCAAAGUUUUUCAUCAACGACAUCCAUCAAAACCAAGAUGAAAACCUCUCUUAUAAAAGAGACAAGAUUAAGGCAAGAUAACAUACAAUCUCCUAUCCUUGUUUGUAACUUCUUUGCAUUUUGUGACUCUAAUUAGAUGGAGAGCCAACAACCAGCGGAUUCAACUCAAGAACCUUCGUUUGCUGACUUACCGGAUGAGACAUUGCGAUUGUCACAACCUUCAAGACGACGCAACCGAGAUGAAGACCCUCAAGAACGACAUGUUCUUCCUCGAAUAGAUGGUGAGAUACAACGCGUUUGGUAUCACGACCUUGGAAGAGAUUCUCGAUGUUUGGUGAUAUUAUUGGAGAUAGGAACGACUCCUGAUGGUGUUUCAAAUGUAUUAUUUGAAGGAAGUUAUGAAGGCCUCAACAGUGAUCAAAUAACAGGGUGGUCUUCUCGCCCUGGAAUGGGACACUAUCGAUGGCUAAGAGGACCCAUCAACUAUCUUCGAAGAGAACAAAGAUCAGAGUAUGUAGCAAAUACAAUUCGCCGCAUAUUAGAUUUUCUCAAUAUAUAAUCACCGCUCCUCGUGGAACUCGUCCCUAGAAGGGGGGGUAAUGUCACGGACAUACAUAUAAUUACCUAUAUGAAUAGAUAAAAGUAUGUAAAAGUAGAUAAAAGUAGGUUAAUUGUGUAAUAUCUUCUAGAAAAGCUUCUUAGAAGCUUCAUAGACGCUGCUUUGACUUUAUAGGAGUCUAUAGUUGACUUUUAGGUUAGAAACUUGGUCAACAAGUUAGCCAUGUGCCACACAUAUUGGAAGCUUAAAGAACAAGCUAACUACGUGGUCCAUCCAUAGAAAACUUGCCUUGCAAGCAAAGGCAUGUGGCCUAGAAAGUCAACAUAUAUUGGAGGUCUUAUAGAACAUCGCCACGUGGCUUCUAGUUAGAUAGUAUAUAUAGAGGCAAGAGUGAAGCCCUCUUCACUCUUGUCAACUCCUUUCUUGCUUCUAGUCUAGUUUCAAGGGUGUCUAGUUUUUCUUGUAUUUUGGCAAUAGCCAUUCCAGUUUCUUUCUUAAUAUACAUAUUUCUAUUUUGUC
rnacentral:lncRNA from 1 species